GAGUUUGAUCCUGGCUCAGAACGAACGCUGGCGGCGUGCCUAACACAUGCAAGUCCAACGUGAAAGGGGAGCAAUCCCCCGGUAGGGUGGCAAACGGGUGAGUAAUACAUGGGUGAUCUACCUUAGGGAUGGGGAUAUCCUUCCGAGAGGAGGGGCAAUACCGAAUAUUGUCCGGAGCCGUGAAGGGUUCCGGGGAAAGGGAGGCCUCUGAUACAAGCUUUCGCCUUAAGAUGAGCCCAUGGCCCAUCAGCUAGUUGGUAGGGUAAAGGCCUACCAAGGCUACGACGGGUCGCUGGUCUGAGAGGACGACCAGCCACACUGGCACUGAGAUACGGGCCAGACUCCUACGGGAGGCAGCAGUGAGGAAUAUUGCGCAAUGGGGGAAACCCUGACGCAGCAACGCCGCGUGUGGGAAGAAGGCCUUCGGGUCGUAAACCACUUUUGCACGGGACGAAAAAGGGAUAUCGAACAAAUAUCCCCGAUGACGGUACCGUGAGAAUAAGCCACGGCUAACUCUGUGCCAGCAGCCGCGGUAAGACAGAGGUGGCAAGCGUUGUUCGGAAUUACUGGGCGUAAAGAGUCUGUAGGUGGUUUGUCAAGUCUUUGGUGAAAGGCCGUAGCUUAACUAUGGGAAUGCCAAAGAGACUGGCAGGCUGGAGGCUGGGAGAGGGAAGCGGAAUUUCUGGUGUAGCGGUGAAAUGCGUAGAUAUCAGAAGGAAGGCCGGUGGCGAAGGCGGCUUCCUGGAACAGUCCUGACA
rnacentral:rRNA from 1 species